UAAGCUUUAAUCAAAUUCAAAGAAACCUCAAAGAAAUUACAUAGAAACAAUAAGAAUCUUAAAGAAAUAUUUGAAUGAUCACAAAUAUAUCUCAAAUACAUCUCAAUUCAAUCUUAAUUUAAUCCUAGUUAAAAUCUUAUUGGACUUCAUUCAAACUUUAGGCCAAAAACUAACUAAAUCUUAAAUUCUAAAUAAAUCCUAAUAAAAUUCUAAAUUCUAAAUCAAAUCUUAACCAAACUUUAAACCCUAAACUAAAUCCUAACCAAAUCCUUUUUCUAAAUUAAAUUCUAACCAAAUUCUAAUCCUAAAUCAAAUCCUAACCAAAUCCUAAUCUUAAAUCAAAUCCUAACCAAAUCCUAAACCCUAAACCAAAUCCUAGCCAAAUUUUAAGACCUAAAUCAAAUCUUAAAUCCUAAACCAAAUUCUAACCAAAUUCUAAUCCAAAACCAAACCCUAAUCAAACUCUAACCCUAAAUCAAAUCUUUAUCAAACCUUAAAUCCUAAACCAAAUCCUAAUCAAAUCUUAAAUCUUAAAUCAAAUCCUAAAUCUUAAAUCAAGUCCUAAAUACUAAACCAAAUCCUAAUCAAAUCCUAACCAAAUUCUAAUCUUAAAUCAAAUUUUAACCAAAUCCUAAAUCAAAUCCUAAUCAAAUCUUAAAUCCUAAAUCAAAUCCUAAUUAAACCUUAAAUCCUAAAUCAAAUUCUAAAUCUCAAAUCAAAUCCUAAUCAAAUCUUAAAUCCUAAAUCAAAUCCUAAAUCCUAAAUCAAAUCCUAAAUCCUAAACCAAAUCCUAACCAAAUCCUAAUCUUAAAUCAAAUCCUAAUCAAAUUCUAAACCUUAAAUCAAAUCCUAACCAAAUCCUAAAAUUCUCUUUUCUGAAACUUUGACC
rnacentral:lncRNA from 1 species